AUUGAACGCUGGCGGCAGGCUUAACACAUGCAAGUCGAGCGGGGGAGGUUGCUUCGGUAACUGACCUAGCGGCGGACGGGUGAGUAAUGCUUAGGAAUCUGCCUAUUAGUGGGGGACAACAUUCCGAAAGGGAUGCUAAUACCGCAUACGCCCUACGGGGGAAGGCAGGGGAUCUUCGGACCUUGCGCUAAUAGAUGAGCCUAAGUCGGAUUAGCUAGUUGGUGGGGUAAAGGCCUACCAAGGCGACGAUCUGUAGCGGGUCUGAGAGGAUGAUCCGCCACACUGGGACUGAGACACGGCCCAGACUCCUACGGGAGGCAGCAGCGGGGAAUAUUGGACAAUGGGGGGAACCCUGAUCCAGCCAUGCCGCGUGUGUGAAGAAGGCCUUUUGGUUGUAAAGCACUUUAAGCGAGGAGGAGGCUACCGAGAUUAAUACUCUUGGAUAGUGGACGUUACUCGCAGAAUAAGCACCGGCUAACUCUGUGCCAGCAGCCGCAGUAACAC
rnacentral:rRNA from 1 species